AUGUAUCUUCCUGAGUUAAGACCGAUCCUUCUGCUUUUACAUAUUUUAUUACAUCACACACCGACUCCACCUAUUUUCUAUUGCAUCACACAUUACAAGCCGAUUCUUCUGCUUUUUCAUAUUUUAUUGUCAUUUUCACCAUCCCUGUUAAGACUAUUCUCAAGUUGUGACCAUCAAUAUAAAUACAUGCUACAAGCAAAUGCUAUCACAAACUUCUUGAGAGUUGAGUUGAAACUUGAAUAUUAA